rnacentral:sRNA from 1 species
CCCAUCUCUGAUGAUGAAGCCAGUGAUGGGGAAGAAACCCAGAGAAGCUGGAAGUUCUGGCCAAAGCCUACGGUGUUCAGGGAGACAAGUGGAGGGCCCUGGGCUAUGCCAAGGCCAUCAAUGCCCUCAAGAGCUUCCAUAAGCCUGUCACCUCGUACCAGGAGGCCUGCAGUAUCCCUGGGAUUGGGAAGCGGAUGGCUGAGAAAAUCAUAGAGAUCCUGGAGAGCGGGCAUCUGCGGAAGCUGGACCAUAUCAGUGAGAGCGUGCCUGUCUUGGAGCUCUUCUCCAACAUCUGGGGAGCUGGGACCAAGACUGCCCAGAUGUGGUACCAACAGGGCUUCCGAAGUCUGGAAGACAUCCGCAGCCAGGCCUCCCUGACAACCCAGCAGGCCAUCGGCCUGAAGCAUUACAGUGACUUCCUGGAACGUAUGCCCAGGGAGGAGGCUACAGAGAUUGAGCAGACAGUCCAGAAAGCAGCCCAGGCCUUUAACUCCGGGCUGCUGUGUGUGGCAUGUGGUUCAUACCGACGGGGAAAGGCGACCUGUGGUGAUGUCGACGUGCUCAUCACUCACCCAGAUGGCCGGUCCCACCGGGGUAUCUUCAGCCGCCUCCUUGACAGUCUUCGGCAGCAAGGGUUCCUCACAGAUGACUUGGUGAGCCAAGAGGAGAAUGGUCAGCAACAGAAGUACUUGGGGGUGUGCCGGCUCCCAGGGCCAGGGUGGCGGCACCGGCGCCUGGACAUUAUCGUGGUGCCCUAUAGCGAGUUUGCCUGUGCC